CACUGCCAAGAUGGAUUAAUGCUGGGAGACCUUACAACUGCAGUACCUCAGCUCUUCAACUUGUCUUAAGCUCCUGUGUAGGAUUAAAGAGGCCUCUGAAAUGGGAAAUCUGACAUCAAAAGAGCUCAUACGUAGGAAUCCAAGAGGCUUAAGUUCAAGUUCAGUCUCUGCCACCGACUAGCUGGGAAUCAUUAAAUGAUUCAUCUAAAUUCUCUGAGCUUUGGUUUCCUCAUCUGUAGUUUACUUCAGAAGAUUGUCGUGAGGGAUUAAAUUGGC
rnacentral:lncRNA from 1 species